CGACAGGCGUAGUCGAUGGACAACGGGUUGAUAUUCCCGUACCAGUGAAGAACCGCCCAUGCUGAGCCGGUGAUACUAACCGCCCGAACCAUCCCGAACCUCGUCUUUGACGGGGACGGUGGUGGGGAGCGCGGGACCUGAACCGGGGGAGGCAAGCGCAUUAACAGGUGUGACGCAGGAAGGUAGCCGGGCCGGGCAAUGGAAAUGACCUGGUCUAAGGGUGUAGGGCUGCCGGUAGGUAAAUCCGCCGGCUGUAUGCCUGAGACCUGAUGGGCGCCCACAUGGUGGGUGAUCCGGUGAUCCUAUGCUGCCUAGAAAAGCAUCGGCGCGAGGUUCAAACUGCCCGUACCCUAAACCGACACAGGUGGUCAGGUAGAGAAUACUAAGGCGAUCGAGAGAAUCAUGGUUAAGGAACUCGGCAAAAUGCCCCCGUAACUUCGGGAGAAGGGGGGGCCCCAACCUUGAGCACCACUCGCUGGUGUGAGGGGAUCGGGGCCGCAGAGACCAGGGGGAAGCGACUGUUUAUCAAAAACACAGGUCCAUGCGAAGUCGUAAGACGAUGUAUAUGGACUGACUCCUGCCCGGUGCUGGAAGGUUAAGGGGACCCGUUAGCUUCGGCGAAGCGGAGAACUUAAGCCCC
rnacentral:rRNA from 1 species